rnacentral:rRNA from 1 species
GGAAUGGCUUGAUGAAGCAAGGACAUCAUCGUGGCUCGUUCGCUCGCACCCUCUGUCGUCGCCGCUGGAUGCAUGUGGUCUCUCCUCUACCUAUACCUCCGGUUCAUACGACUAGACGCCGCGCGCCGCCUCCUUUGCCGCCACCACCUGCGCGUGCGCGUGCUGGAGCAGCGGCGACCAAGGUGGGACGGGAAGUAGCCGACGAAGAGGCUCCGGCUGCCGCUGCGCGAGCGGAACCGGGGGGUGAGGGAGGGAAAGUUCGCUUCGGAAUCCCUGUAACGACGUAACAUGCUGACACUAGGGAGUGAACUCUUCCACCUCCUCAAGUCUUCCCGAGUUCCGGACAGUAGAUAGUGAAGUUUUACGAAGGUUCGACGGUUAUAUAGACGCGAACAACAUCUACUACAGAGGUGUAACCUGUUUUGGGAACUUGACCUUAGAGUGUUCCGUAAACGAGGGUUCCAAAUGUCUCAACAGCCUUAGCUCUGGGACCGCCUUUGUUAAUAAUUACUCCUCAGUCAACAACCUAGUUCGACCUGUGACCUAAGUAAGUGACUUCGUAAACACCGCUUCGAGUUUAGUCAACGGUUGUUUUAACAACCUAACUUUUCGUACCGACGUGUAUCUUCACCGAAUCUCUAACUAGGUUCACAAUCGUUCCACCUACGUCUCCUACCAGAAGCCUUCCUCGAUCGUUCAAACCUCUGUCCCUUGACCCGAAUGCUGUAACGUGGGAAAAAGUAGACGCACGACAAGAACUUCUGUUUUCUAAACAGUUCACGGUUUAUCAAGAAGAUUUACGAAGCAUAGGUAAAAGCUCCCUUCCUAGGAUAGAACGUAGACAAAUGAGGGUCCACCUUGGAGUAAAAUGAUUCUUUAAUAUGUAACAGGUAAAAUAAACGAAGUAAAAUACAAAAAUUGGUAGAAUGUGUUUGGUCUUUAUCAAGAUGGAACUAAAACCGAAACGUAAAGGUUUUGAAUCACAAGUUCCUUAUUGUAGUAGUGAAUUUCUCGAGGACCUCGCUCGAGGGUAUUUCUUCCAUUUCAUGGACAGAAGACUUACCGACAAAGAUCUUUUUGACUUAUGAACUCUAGUAACAAUCCUUAUGUAUAAAUCAAAUGAAAAGUAGCUAGCACGACUUAUGUGUGACUCCUAAGAGUACGACAACUUUGGUUCUGGUUGAGUUUUCAUCGUGGGGAAGACCAAUGGCUGACAGUAUCACGUAUGGCUGUACCACGGUUUUAAGGAAACUGGGACAUUCUAUAAAUAUUUGGAUCAUUCCAAUCUGUAACCCUUUUGUAAAAAGUUCCGUUUAAAUGAGUGUGAAAUAGGCCUACGAGUUAAAAUUUAAAACAUAAUGAGUGUGUCUAUAGUUAUCUAUUGCUUCAUUACUUUUUAACUGAUGUAGAUAGAGUUUUGGGGCAAAACACUGACCUCCCAGUUAUAAUUGAUUGAUUGUUUAAUGAUAUCAUCGUAAGUAGAAAAAGGCUAUUUCUUGCGAAAAUAACUGACUAUCGUAGCCGUUUUCAUUGUACGUCCGUACCGGUCUCUUAGGUUAAGAUCAUCAUAAACAACCAAUUAUCGAAUGGUAGUUGGAAACCUCUGUUUCCAAGUUCUCGUAUAGAAACCAUAGAAGAAGAAUGUCAUGUAGAUUGAAAGAAAACAGUUAGGUACAGACAUCAUAAGUGAGAGUAUAAAGGAGACUUGUCUUGAGAUGAGGGAGACAUUUGAUUAUAUUCUAGAAAAUCACUACAUUUUCUAGAAUAUAAUCAAAUGUCUCCCUCAUGGUUAAUACGACUAUAAACUACGUACACUAUAAUAAGUAGUAAAUACAUAAAUUGGACUUAAAACGGUGAAGAACUAUAUGAAAUGUUGACUAUGUAGAUCCUUAAAAAUUGUAAUUAAAGUCCAGUACAAGUCGUGUCUACCUAUACGAAAAGGUCUCUGUAUGAUAGAUCCACGUUUUACCCGUGCACUACAGCAAAUGGCACAGGAGAGUCGACGUACACUUCUACCACUAGAAUGGUAAGUCCUUCGAUAUCUUCGUCAACUCCUGUAGAAGUCUUCUUUACGUGACGUAGACAUGUUCAACUUACAGAAGGUACUUUUUUGAUGGUCAUAACUACUGUUAUGGUAUAGUAGCAGCAGAACAGAGCCCUUUCUACUACACUAGGAACAAGCUUACCAGACCUUACUACGAAGUCCAGUUGUAUCUACGGCACGGAACGGUCGGCUCUCUAAAAUGCCGUAACGUGCCUUGUUCCCACAACCAGAUCCAUAACGUCGUCACCCCAAAUGAAGGAAAUCUCUACGGGGUCGUCAACCCUGUUUGGAAUGAACACGGCCUCUCCUUUAGUCCGAACACCGUCUAUACAGUUGUGAAAACUCCUAGGGUACCAGUUCUUUGCUUCUUUACCACUACCAACUGUACGAUUGGCCAAGGCCUCUUCGGAGGUUUAUGACAGGAUCUUUACGAAAUUCUUUUCACUGUUUUCAAGACGAUCUACUUAAGUUACACAGUUCCGUCCAAAACUCUUACUUAAAAUAGAGGAGUCUUUUAGUAAGUCGCUCCCCGUACUUGUAACCCAAGGUAUACUAUUAUCGUCAAUGACGAGCUGAAGUCGUAAACUACCACGUAGUAAAUACGACUUUCUUCGUGUAAGAACAGAAUUUCGACGUCCGUAACACCAACUCGUCUACGUACGACUUCCACCAUUACCCGUCAAGCUCUAUCGGAAUUUCAUACACAACACGUGAGAACGACGACUAUUAGUCUAUAUACGGGCUCUUUAAUAAUUUAGGUAACGAGCUUUUGUGCCCCACUAUCGUUGUAAAGAUGGUUUUGGAUUUACUUGAACCUAGGCCAACAGUACACGUGGACUCGAAUACCUUCUUACUGGUUUUACAAAAGUACCCGAGUUUAUUUAUAUUAAUGGUACCCUACAGUUUAUGGCCACUUGCCAAGGAACGACCUCAAAUAGUAGUAGAAGGUAGCUAUGACCGUAAAUGACGGGGAGUGGGUGUGUCGAUGCUGGCUUAAGUCGGUUUGUGUAAGUGACCUCGUAUAGAAACGACCCCCUUUCUCUUGGCCCUCCGAGGUAACUCCUGGAGGACGGGUGGACCGCACGGAGGACUAAAACAGUCGUUGAAGCUCUAAUCCAGCAAGCUGCCCACGCGUUUGGGAGUGGAUCCGGAGCGGCGGUAACAGCGACGGCCCUAGCUGCCCGAUUCCUCUCCGGAGUUCAACGGAGGUGGUUGACUUGACUUGGGACGUCUAACGCGAAGUGUGCUCUCCGAUGGCGUACUGAACGAACCUAGACACCUCCGUGAACGACGCCUGUUCUAAAAAGUACUUGACUACCCACUGUUUGAACACUGAAGACAAUAUCGAUACGCUUUCCGGCUCUAGCUCGUGAUGCGAUUCUUGGGUCCCCGUCAGGUGGUAGAGUAAGUGGCAAUGAUCGUCAUCAACGUCCGGCUCUAGCUCGUGAGAACGAACUACUAGCUAGCCCAACUUUUGCAUGACGAGAAGAAAAUCCGUAACGAGACGAGAGCCGUGAAGUGUACAUACGGCUACUUAUUACAACAGGGUGCCUAACGACUACCUAGAGCCGUUACGUGAACGUCAAGAGGCUGCAAAAGUCAAUUAUUCACCAUCUCUGGUUACAAUUCUAAAACCAUCGUGUUUUAUAAACUUAGACCGACUUUAAAGUCUUAAUAUAAAACUAAUCCAAUAAACACCACCUUGGUCAGUGGGUGGUCCCUAGUUCAGGAUUUAAAGCGAGGUCACGAGUGUAAAAAGAACUAAAUAAAGUCUAAAAAGUAGCCACAAACAAGUCACCCUACUCUGCAAAGGUACCAGAUACUACGCGGAUACUACUGAAACAACUAGAGUUCUACAACACGAGCGAGUCAUAGAGUCUCUACGAGGACCCCAUCCCACACGCACACAAGUAUCCCCGCUCACGUACACUCGUAGUUGUAAACAUGGCACAAAACUUUUCCUGCAGCUAUUCCUGGCUUGCAAGCCAGACCCCCGGAGGGUCUGGCUUGCUCCUCAAGCCAUGCUGUCCGUCGAGGGACGCUUGCUUUAGCAAACCCUCCUCUCCGGAGGGUCGGGCUUGCGAGGAAGGGCAGGAGCCAGAAAAGAGACAUGUUUUUUUCGGGUAUUUUUGCUUUUUCGGGAUGUCCGGAAAGGAGACAUGUUUUUUUUCGGGUAUUCUUGAUUUUUCGAGACAACAACACUGC